rnacentral:rRNA from 1 species
CCUACGGGAGGCAGCAGUGAGGAAUAUUGGUCAAUGGGCGGAAGCCUGAACCAGCCAAGUCGCGUGAGGGAUUAAGGCCCUGCGGGUCGUAAACCUCUUUUGCCGGGGAGCAGAGGUCCGGACGUGUCCGGGCCGGGAGAGUACCCGGAGAAAAAGCAUCGGCUAACUCCGUGCCAGCAGCCGCGGUAAUACGGAGGAUGCGAGCGUUAUCCGGUUUUAUUGGGUUUUAAGGGUGCGUAGGCGGGCAUUUAAGCCGGCGGUCAAAUGUCGGGGCUCAACCCCGGCCUGCCGUCGGAACUGGGUGCCUUGAGUGGGCGAGAAGGAUGCGGAAUGCGUGGUGUAGCGGUGAAAUGCAUAGAUAUCACGCAGAACCCCGAUUGCGAAGGCAGCAUACCGGCGCCCUACUGACGCUGAGGCACGAAAGUGCGGGUAUCGAACAGGAUUAGAUACCCCGGUAGUC